GGGUGCGGCUGGGCAUGUCAUGCUUCUUUUUUUGUUAAAGUUCAAGUCUGUUGGACUGCGCUGAGCAUGAGGCUUGGUCUAAAAUAAACCCGGAGGCUCCCAAGCCCUGGGGUUCCAGCUUCCAGUUUGAAGAUGUCUGUCCCCCAGGGGCCUGGAGUGGCAGGGACAGCAGGACCCUGGCCGGCAGCUGCCCUCCUGUUCUCCCAUCCCACUGCAAUCCUGAUGCCCGGUUAGGGCAGCAACACCCUCAGGCUGCAGAGCACGCCCCGCGUGUCCCCUGAGCCCCUCCCUCCACUGGUCUCCCAACGACAACCAGAAGUUAGGCCUGAUGGACCAAGGAGGGCUUCGUGUCCCCCACAAUCCAUGUCUGUGCCCUAAGCCUACAUACCUGUGAACAUGACCGUAUUUGGAAGGAUAGUGUUUGCAGAUGUAACUAAAAACCACGAGAGGAUCGAUCGGUGUUGUGCUGAGCCCCCCCGGCCUGUGUGCUCUGCGGCAGCGGCCCCGGGACACGCACGCUCCUGCUGCUGCCAGCUGUGCACCAGGCACGUGGCUGGUUUGCCUCCGUCCCCAGGGGGCCCUUGGCGGCAAGGAGGGGGUGGGUGCAUCUAGGAGCCUUUGCACGGGCACUUGGGUCAGUCACCUGCCCGGCUGGACUGUGCAUUUACAGGUAGACAGAGGCCUCAGGGACCCCCAAGACUGUGUCCAAAAAUUGGACUGUGUGAAACCCAACCCUCACUCAGCCACCCAGUCCUAGCCCAGCAUGAGGAGAGCAGGGGCCGUGACAGCGGGGGCGUGGGGGUCAGGGGCCACCUGCACACAGGGGCACGUGCACCCUCCAACGCCCCUCCAUCCUCCCCACCCCGCCCCUGGGUGCUCGGCUGCUCCCUGAGCCUUUGUCCCGAGAGGCUGGGCCCAGGGCGCUCAGCGGAGCAGAGCCGCCCACCCAGGCCCCUCCUGGAUGGCAUGUGGGGCCUCCGUGCCAGGCUCGGGAUGGGGCCAGCUCCUUCUGGGAGCCCCUCCCCCUCUCUGUCUCCAUGUUCACAGGGUGUUUCACUGCCUGCCCUUGGGGGUCCAAGCGCCCUGCUUUACAGGAACGCCGGUCCCUGGACCCAGGCCCUGCCUGCUCCGGGAUGACCUGUCUUCACUGCUCCCCUCUGCGGAGACCCUAAUUCCAACCAAGGUCACGUUCAGAGGUCCCGAGGGGUUAGGACUAAAACAUACAAAUUCGGGGGGACAGGGGACGUGAGUUGGCUCCCACAGCGGGUGGGGCCCUCGGGGAAGUGCCGUGCUGGGUGCAACAGGGCACGGUUCCCAGCGGGCCGCUUCCAGACCGAGCACCCCUCUCUCCUCCGUGGGGUCGGGGAGAGCAGGGCGAUGGCGGCCGGAGCGCCCCCGCGACAGGGCUGCGGCGUGUGGGAUCC